CAGAAGGUGCGUGGAGGAUGAACGCACGAACUGGCCGAAGUUCUCCGGUCUCGUGCGUAUCCAACCCCAUCACCCUCCUCCCUGGUUCGGAUCUUGCCUAGAAAGUUCUCACCUGCCGCCUCAGCCUGGCCAGCCCUCCCAAACUAGGCAACACAAAGGAGGAAGUCAGAGAGCGAAGCCCGGCUCUGGCUUGCCUGGGCUGGGAGAGAUGCGAAAACUGGCUGCCAGAUAAAGGCGAGCCAGGGGAAACACGCUACGCUCAGAUCCACUUUCCGCCGUCCUGGGUGAGUUGGUCAGGAAGUCCGACCUUCCAUUCCCGCGCGCGCUCGAGCCGCCUCUUCUCCCUCAGCCCGCCGCUGGUUCUCUGACCCGCCAGAGCUUACUUUUUGUUGCCGGAAAACCCACCAGUUCGGGAGAGAUGGACCGGUUAAGCAGCCCGCCCGCCGGGGGAAGAGUCGGGGGAGGAGAUUGGCCUCACCUGGCGCUGCCCUCUCGAGGACACUGGGGGGGGCGCAGCCUCAGCAGAAGAAGGAGCGCACGGGCGACAGCGCGGGCGCUCCGGCGGGCGCGGGUGGUUGCCCAUAGCGGAUUUCCUCGGCGUGAAACAAGGGGGCUGGCCCUGGGAGAAUAGGCUCACCUCCCCGCCCUGUCCUUCCUUCCGCUCUCUCCCUCACUCGUUUGGCGGCCUGGCCACUCCCAGCUGCGAAUGCCCCCGGCCCGGCGGGGACAACUGAGGGCAUUCGUCACCCUUUCACGAUGCCUGCUGCCCCCAAGGCGAUCACAGGCUCCCUCAGUAGGCAGCACGUAGGAUCUUCUUAAGCUCAGCUCCUUCCAAACCCGGGAGCCUUGAAGGCUAUUAGAUGCCCAAAGAGCCCUUCGCCUCUCCUUCAGUUCUAGCGGGGCGGGGGGCUGGAUCGUUUCCGUCGGAAGAUGGAGAGUCGGCUACUUUCCCUUUUUAUUGGCAACCUGAACAAGCUCUCCUCAGGCUUCCAUUGACUGGAGUUUUCCCUGGAGCUUAAGAGGGGGAGGGACGCACACUUAGCUUCCAAAGAUAAAACAUAUAAAGAGCAGAAAAAUGAGGGGCUUUUAACGUUAGCUUGAUCCGAGAGCCCUGCCGAAUCAGACCAAAGGCCAACAUCCUUCUUCUCACAAUGGCCGGCCACAGAUGCUUGAGUUUCUUCCCCCGGUGUCCUUCCAUAAACCAAACUCAGGUCUCUGGCUCUGGAAGUUCAUCAGCCCUUGCAAGGAAGUAUACAGGCCUAUUGAAACAUAUUUGUGGGAAGCGGAGCAGAGCAUGAGCUGUAUAGAGGAAGCAUGAUGAUACCAUGACAGUCAACAAGAGAGAAAUGGGAAUGAGAAGAGUCUGUGGAGAAGGCAAUUGAGAGAGAACAACAUCACAGAUGCUCCUGCUUUUGUCUCCGCAGACACCUCCAGAUGGCAACAGGGUGAAAAGAAAGGUGAUCGAGAAGAGAUCCCAGCCCUCUUCCAUGUGGUAACCUUUCAUGUACUUGAAGAGUGCUAUCUCUUUGCCAUCCCAGCAUUUCUAUUUAUACUGAAAGCUCUAUUCAGAUAUGUUUUUCAGAUUAUAACACACACACACAUCAAUAUAUUAUUAUUAUUAUUAGCAGUAGUAGUAAUAGUAGUAGUACUACUAGUAGUAGUUACAUCCUACCAUUCCACAGCACUCCAGGUGACUGAAUGCCAAGAAAAAGGAGAAUGUAAAAAGGUAAAACAAGUUCUCAAAGUACUAACUAUUAAAGUUUCUUUCUUGUAGUAGCUCAAAGCAUUUCAGAACUGCAAUUUCUGUGCUUUGUCAUGGUGCCAGAUAGGAAGGGUUAAUGCAAGAUAUUGUGCUGCCCUCCCAAUUCCAUGCACAGAAGCUGACUUGCAGUUCAAUCUGACAUCAAAAUUGACAAUGCGACAGUGUCUUCCACCACACCUGAGUGUAGCAGGCCAGCUACGGGAGCACAGGGUAGCCUAUGUGGCACACACAGUUCCAUCCCCAACAGAAGGGAACAGCUGGGGACUGAGAAGGAAGAGUGGGGGGGCAACUCUGCCUCCCUCCUGCAACUGUCGCCUGUGGAGGAUGCUUAAUUUUCCCUAAUGGUAGGCUAUCCCUGUGGUAGAAGCAGCAUUUGUAUAAAUUGCUUCAGAAAGACUAUGAUUGCUCCUGAAGGAACUGAAAUGUGUUGAGCUACAAUAAACCUUAAUAGUUGUCACUUUUGAGAACUAGCUCCACCUUUUUGCAUUCUCUCUAGUUUCUGUGACUCCUUUCUUUUUCUUCCUCUUCUUCUUCUGUGUAUUAUACCAAGGAAAAUGCAUCUGUUAUUUUAUGUUUCCAUCUGCCCAGUGCUCUGAUGGCACAGCCUGGCAGUUACAUAUUGCAGUAUAGUGACUCAGUUACAGCUGAUCCUUUAGCAAUGCCCUUCUCAGUAAGGGAAUUGGUUCCUGUACAUGUAGAUUAUCUCACUGUAUGGUACAUGUGGUAUAGCAGGUAAUUGGUAUGAUUAUUUUUCUUUUCAUUUUUUCCUGGUGUAUUUGAUUACUCUUUAGAGAUUAUCAAAAAGAUCUGGGCAGAGUGUGAAGGGGCUUGUUGGGGGAGUAGACUGUUGGAGUAGGAGAAUGAGUGGGUCAGCUUUGAGUAUCACCUUGGGACGGGUGGCUGGUGUUUAUUGGGACUGGGAGGGCGUAAGGCAGGAGGCCAACAGUAGGUGGAGCCAGAGCCAGUGACAGAUAUGGUCAGAACCAACUAAUUCUAGCUUUGCUCCCAUCUUCCUCCUUGCUGUGUUUUACAAGUACAAGACUGAGGAAGAGGAAGCUGAGAAUGAGUUCUACUCUCUGGACUGGUUGUAAGUAACAAGGCAGAAUGAGGUGGUGAGGCAGUACUCCAUUAGUUCUGAAGGGCCAGCCUCCACUGUAGCAGGAGGAGGGGAUACCUUCUGGCCAGAAGGGACAGAGGGACCUAAAUUUCACAUAAGCGACCAUGCAAAUACUUGUGUCCAUUUAUCUAGUCCUAUAAGAUUUAUAGCUACUGGCUGUUGCCCAUUUAAUUAUCCUUAAAAGGGAUUGUGCUAGUUGGAGGGCAGCAUUAAAACAUUCAUAGUGUGUUUCAGCAGGCUCAUAUGCCACAUAAAAGAGGAAAAUCAUUUGAAAAUCUUAUUAUUUUAAAACCAGACUCAUAAAAACAUACAUACUUGAAGUUUGGAACUGGUCUCUAAAGACCAAGAGUUCUCCUCACUGUUGACAAAAGAGGUGGCGGCAAAUGACGUGAGAAAACAUUUGUUUGCUUAGGGAUUUGAAACCAGUGAGUGUGAACACAGAACAAACAGUAUUCAGCUGUAAGAACUGAGCCAUAGACAUCAGUGCAUUGUCACAGCCUUGCCCAGUUUUUAUUCAUCACUCCAGGACUCUUAUUUCAACAGACAUCAGAAUACCAUUUUAGGAAAGAGGGUUGUCACUGUUGAUGUUUUGUAUGAUUUCUUAUGCUGUAACAUUUAUUUGAUUAUAUAAUAAAAAAAGUUUAAAAUAAAAAAAAUCUUAGG